rnacentral:lncRNA from 1 species
AAAGUCGCGUAUUUUUUCCGAAAAGCGAUCAAAGCUUAGCGGCCAGGCCUUCGCGAAAAAAUAAUGCGCCGCCAUCUUGGUUUUAAAAGUUUCCCAAAAUUUGCGAAGACAAAUAACAGAAUUUUACUGAAUUUUUGUCUAUGUUACGAGCCAAAACAUUGCCAAAUAUAAAGACAGAUGACAUGGUAAGUGUAAUAUCGUAUUUAAUAACUGUUAUUUGAAUUAUUAUUAUAUAAAAUGUGCACAUGUAUCUGACUCAGGAGUGAGCACUGAGCAUUCAAACCCAUCAUCUAUAAUAAUAUUAAUAUAAAACUGAUUGAAAGUGACUGCUUUCGUCCUUUGAAUGAUGGCCUGCCUGUUCACAACUCAUUAAUAUAUGUACAUGCAAAAUUGUAAAGCACUCUGUUUGAAUUUUCAAGGAAGAAUUUGUCAAUUUGAGUAUUUGUAAACAGUUUUUCGCCUCUGGUACUUUUGCAUAUUUCCAUAUAAAGACAUUUCACUGCAAGUGCACAUAGUCCAUGUAUCUGCAAUUUUAAACUUCAUACUGUUUUGUACACAUGCAACUGUUGCAGUGUUUCAGGUAUACCAUGCUAGUCACUACAAGUUCCCUUUCUGAUAUAAAGAGUUGUGAUGUACUGGUACCGUAAACCUCCGACUUACGACUAUAAGGCACCCCCCUCCCCCCCCGAACAUAGACAGAUUUUCAUGUUUUUUUUACUGGGGUGGUGCCAGAAAUUUUAGGGGGGUGAGCCGCAAGCAGGUGACUGAAGCAACACAAAGUGUCACCAAACCCCAGUAGGGUCUAUAUUCUAGGGGUGGAGCACUAGAGCCACGAGUGGGAGUCUAGAGAGCAGAAAACAAAGUAUCCCGGAAAAAAAUUGAUUUCUAGAUUCGAAAAAUUAGUUUCAGAGUAUUCCACUGUCUUUUUCUAUUUGAGUGUACUCCUACGUUUAUUUUGUAUCAUCAACACUCUGCACGUUGGAGUGGACUAUUUAAUUAUUUUUUAUUAUGCCGAAUAUUGGGGGGGGGUUGAAAUUUUAGCUUGGGGGUUAUAUAUUAUUGGGCAGGAGCAUCCCCCUGCACCCUCCCACAAAAUCCAUCUAUGCCCCCAAAUAUAAGCCCCCCCCCCAUGUAUAAGCCCACCACAUGUACUAAACCUCACCUCAUUCCAAAUAUAAGCCCCCCCUGAAUAUAAGCCCCCCCCCCGGAAUAUAACUCCCCCGAAUUGAUAUAUUAAUACAUUUUUAAUUUCCUGUUUAUGACUGACUUGUUUAUGUUUGACUUGUUUAUUACUAACACUAACACAAAAGAUCAUUGGGUAUAAGCCCCCCUUGUAUAAGCCCAUCAAAAAUCGCUUAUGAAAGUAUAUAAGCCAGGUUUUAUAGUCGGAGGUUUACGGUAUAUGUAUACAGUAUAUUAAAGUAAUUGGAAACCAAAAUUUCAUGGGAUAUAAGUAACAAUUGCAAGUUGAAUUAAUAGUUGAAACCUACUUUCCCUCAUGCAUAUAACUUAUGUGGUAUGAGGGUCGCUAAGAUUUCGCACAACGACAACAAAUUAAAAUUUCGCACAACGACAAUCUGAUUAUAGUUGUGAUCACUAUAAAAUAUAUCAACAACAACAGUAUAAUCUAAUUAACACCAACCAAUCAAAUGACGGAUUGAAAAAUCUUUUGUCUCAUAGACCAACCAGAUUUACAACUGAAAUACGGUUGUAAGGCAUGGACUUUUGUUUAGGUUUGUUUCAGGCCUAUUUAUUUAUUUAUAGGCCUGAUGGCAGGUUAGGGCCUGACCAACAACUGAGGUAGGAUGCAUCAUCACUAUGGACCCCAGACAGGCAUGUCAAUUUUUGGAAAUCAAAAUUGUCUAUAAAGUCAUAAAGACCCAAUACUUUAUUUCACAAAGAACCACCUCCCCCAAUACCCCCAAGUAAAUCCAUCCCACUGCUACACAAAAGAAUACUUCUUUCCCUCUAAGUUUACAAUGAAAGUAUAUUUUUUACAGAUCUCUGCGAUAUUACUUUUACAACCUUGAAGAUAUGAUUAUGAUGACAGAUGUUGGUACAUUGCAGAGUAUUUUGUACAUCCUAUAAACUUUUUGUAAUAUCCACACAAUAGAUAAAUUUGUAUCAUAAUUAAAUUUGUAUCACAAUCUGUAAUUUAAUAAAUAUUCAUUUCAUCUUGUUUCGUUUCAUGUUUUCUUAAUAGCCUGCAAGAAAAGAUCUUCUUAGAAAAUCUGAUAUUUUUUGAAAAUUUAUUACAAUGUGUAUACAUGAUCUAAUUGGUUCCUGCCCAUGCCCACCCACCUAUGUUUUUU